AAGUCGUAACAAGGUUUCCGUAGGUGAACCUGCGGAAGGAUCAUUACCAAAGAACAACUGGUUGGGUUGUUGCUGGCCCCCCUCUCCCUGGAGGGGCACUGUGCACGCCUUGCCAAAUUCACUUUGCUCACCUGUGCACCUCCUUGUAGGCCAGGAUCACCAGAGAGGAAGAAGGGGGGGGGGGGAAACGUGUCUCCUGUCGGAGUGCUCAACUUCUUUCCUUUUGCUUGGUGGAGGGAUCUGCUGUUGUGUCCUCACACGGAAUGGGUAUCUGUGAGAGAACAGAUAUAGACGGCUUUUUCCUUGCUCACGUCUGGCCUAUGCCUUUAUUAAACCUGUAACAUCUGUAUCUGUAUGUGUAUUUGAACAUGUGGGAUAACCACGAUUGUUUUUGAACACCAAUACAACUUUCAACAACGGAUCUCUUGGCUCUC
rnacentral:misc_RNA from 1 species